GACGAACGCUGGCGGCGUGCCUAACACAUGCAAGUCGAGCGGUAACAGGUGUAGCAAUACAUGCUGACGAGCGGCGGACGGGUGAGUAACGCUUGGGAAUCUGCCUAUUAGUGGGGGACAACCCGGGGAAACUCGGGCUAAUACCGCAUACGCACUACGGUGGAAAGCCGGGGACCGCAAGGCCUGGCGCUAACAGAUGAGCCCCAAGUCGGAUUAGCUAGUUGGUAGGGUAACGGCCUACCAAGGCGACGAUCCGUAACUGGUCUGAGAGGACGACCAGUCACACCGGAACUGAGACACGGUCCGGACUCCUACGGGAGGCAGCAGUGGGGAAUAUUGGACAAUGGGCGAAAGCCUGAUCCAGCGACGCCGCGUGGGUGAAGAAGGCCUGCGGGUUGUAAAGCCCUUUCAGUGGGGGAAGAAAAGCCUCGAGCUAACACCUCGGGGUCUUGACGUAACCCAUAGAAGAAGCACCGGCUAACUCUGUGCCAGCCGCCGCCGUAA
rnacentral:rRNA from 1 species